rnacentral:lncRNA from 1 species
CGGAGGGGCGGGUCACCCCGCAGCCGGGCCUCGGCCUCCACCGCUCGUCGCCGCGCCCCGCCCGCGCGCCCGCCGCCGCACGUCCCCCGCUGGCGGCCACCAUGAGCACAGGCCUGCGGUACAAGAGCAAGCUGGCGACCCCAGGUGAGCCCGGCUCCCGCCCGCGUGCCCGCGCGCGCCUUUGUCCCUGACGCCUGCCCGCCUCUCACCGUGUCUCUCCGUCUCUCUCCCACCCGCCCGCUUGGACCCGCCCGGACCUGGACCCGACCCCGACCGCGACCCCGGCCCGAACCCCGCAGAGGACAAACAGGUACCUGAGCUCCGCCGCCGUUCCCCUUUUAGCAAGACCGGCUGGCUGUCACCUAUUGUGGCACGGAUGCUGCUGGCUCCCAGGCACGACCCCGCCCCCGCCAGCCGUCAUCUGUCCCUGUCGCGAUAAUCGAUUGUCUGUCAGGGCGGCGUUGCCGCGCCUGGAGCUGAGCAGGGAAGGAGUGGGCUACAUGCCUUGCCCCCUGACCCUCACAGCAGGAGCCUGGUCCCCUCCUCAGGAUGGGAGGAUGGGCUCACGGUAUCUCUCCCACUGGUCCAGCACCAGCAUCUCCUUGCCGACCUGGCUCAAAGGCCAUGUGCAGGAGGUCUUGAGUGAAGCAAUGGUCAUGGAAGACCACAGGCUGGGGAAGAAGGGUCUCUGGGUCCACUAGCCAGUGCAUGGUCCCUGACCACUACCAUGGGGAACCUCUGGUCACCCCACUUCACACCCCUGCACCUUUAUGCUCCUCUCCCUGCCACACACAAAUUCAUAUACUCUAGACUGUAGCUGGGCCUCUUCUUAGACUGGGAGCCUCCAAGCCUGGUCUGAGUCAUCCCAGGGACCAGAAAUGGUCUUCAAACCCAGUGGGUACGGAUAGGCUUGUGACCUUCUAAAGGGGCUGGCCUGGUCCCAGCCUCUGAGAAUAGGAAGUUGACCUGGGCAUCCCCUGUGAAAAUUCAACCAGGCUGGCGGUUAAACCAAGCUGUUGUGACCUGAGAGAGAGGGGAGGGGAAUGGGUAAGCAAGUGAGAUAGGGGCUUCCACUUGCCCUGCUGAUGCCCUGCUGGUUUGAGCUCAGACAGGUUUUGGGGAAAGAAGGGCCUAAUUCUGGCACCACAGGAGCCAUGAAAACUCCCAUCAGAGAUGGGGGUUCGCACAUAGCACUCACAGCAGGGAGGGAACCUGGACUCCUAGCCCGAGGUACAGCAGGCAGGGCAGGAACAGCUGGCAGGUGGUGUGAACUGGGAGUCUACUGACUGCCCAGUGCCAGUCUUCUGGCAGGGACAUGCCCCACCCGGGGACUGAUGAGUCUCAUUGAGAGGGACUCCCCAGGGAACCUGAGUAGAGAGCUGCCUCCCCAUCACAGGACAUUAGACAAAGCCUGAGAUGCAGAGAUGUGCUGCCAAGCUAUUGUUCAAGGGACAGGGAAAGAGUGGAGGAUGCUGAGACCAACCUGCUCAGCUUCUCCUGGGACUGUGAGUGACCCAAUCUUGGCCUAAGGGCUCUCUGAGUCACCAGGCUUUGGCACCUGCUGUUCCGCACCAACUAGGUUUUCUUGCCUAUUGCUGCCAGGGUGGAGACCCCCCCCCCCUGCUGAAUUGUAAGCCCCUUCAGUCCUGUAUCUGCCCAUCCUUUGGUGGUUAGCUAGGAGCCAGCCAAUCCCAUUCCCUGCCCUAGGCUCAGAGGGAGAAGGUAUCUCAGAGGCACAUGGAGGGAGCCACUAGAUGGGGCCAGGUGGUCAAGUGUUUGGAAUGUACCCCAGUGAAUCUGGGGGAGGCCAGAAGCACACAAUAGCUUCAGUGUGACCACUGAAGUCACUGAAGACCAAUUGAGUCUCAGCUUCUCCAGACCUCCUUUUUACUCUACACAAGAGGUUCAGAGAAGCAGCUGGUGGGCGGGGGGUAACUCUGUCAGCCCUCUAUGUCCCCUUACCUCCUCUCAGGCAGCAGUGGGGGCUCUGUUGGCUUUGUUGCUGCUUCCAGAACUGACUUGGGUGAUUCUAAGAAUGGAAAUGCCUAGAGAGUCUCAGACACCAGGAGGAGGUGGGCGCAGCUGUCAUACAGCUCCGGAAGCCCUAAGGAAUAUUUGUUGUGCCUCAGUGACUAGAGAAAGAGGGUGACAGGGCCCUUCCCUUGGGACUCCCCCACUGAAUGCACAAGCUUUGACUGGGCCUAGCUGGAUGAUGGGGCAGGCAGGUCAGGAGCUAGGAGUGAG